rnacentral:tRNA from 15 species
GCCUUCGUGGUGUAGCGGCUAUCACGCCAGUCUCAUAAUCUGGAAAUGCCAGUUCGAUUCUGGCCGAGGGCA